rnacentral:rRNA from 1 species
AACGAACGCUGGCGGCAGGCUUAACACAUGCAAGUCGAACGCAUCCUUCGGGGUGAGUGGCAGACGGGUGAGUAACGCGUGGGAACGUGCCCUUCAGUUCGGAAUAACCCGGGGAAACUUGGGCUAAUACCGGAUACGUGCGAGAGCAGAAAGAUUUAUCGCUGAAGGAUCGGCCCGCGUCUGAUUAGCUAGUUGGUGGGGUAAUGGCCCACCAAGGCGACGAUCAGUGGCUGGUCUGAGAGGAUGAUCAGCCACAUUGGGACUGAGACACGGCCCAAGCUCCUACGGGAGGCAGCAGUGGGGAAUAUUGGACAAUGGGCGCAAGCCUGAUCCAGCCAUGCCGCGUGAGUGAUGACGGCCUUAGGGUUGUAAAGCUCUUUCGUCCGGGACGUUAAUGACGGUACCGGAAGAAGAAGCCCCGGCUAACUUCGUGCCAGCCGCCGCCGUAA